rnacentral:lncRNA from 1 species
UCAGAGAAGGAGGUGGAGCUCUAGCGAAGGGCCUGUUUAGAGGAGUCACAGGCAUAUUGACAAAGCCCCUCGAAGGUGCAAAGUCUUCUGGUGUCGAAGGCUUUGUAUCAGGUUUUGGGAAAGGAAUUAUUGGUGCUGCUGCCCAACCUGUGAGUGGAGUUCUGGAUCUUUUGUCGAAAACCACUGAAGGUGCAAAUGCCAUGAGGAUGAAGAUAGCAGCAGCCAUCACUUCAGAUGAACAACUUCUUCGCCGGAGACUUCCAAGAGCCGUUGGUGCUGAUAGCCUGCUUCGUCCAUACAACGAAUACAGAGCACAGGGGCAGGUACAAUUAUACUCAGGAAUCGAUUUAUACAUGCAUUCCACUAGUCAUUCCUUUCUUGGUUAGCUGAUGAACCGAUUAUUAGUUUGAUUCACCUAGAACACGAUGGUACUUUAUGCAAAGUUCUGAAUUCAUAUUUGGUAUGUGGUCUUUUCCCUUUGCAAUUGGUGGUCAUGUGUAAAAGUUCCAUAUAUUCAUUUGCUAUGAUCAUGAAUUGGCAUUCACUCUUAUCAGAUUCUGUUAGUUAUAUACCCAAAGUACGCUGGGACUAAUGCUGAAUGCUAAUUGUCCUAUAGGUUCAAACUAAGGAUGCAAGGAAUACAAGUGGACAACCAAUUGCCAUUGGCUCCAAUGCCGGUUCUGUUCAGACCACAGAGAACUGGAGAUAAAGCUGAUAACAUUCUGAAGUUUUCGGUUACUUUGCAGUCAAAUGCUGGUCUCGAUCUCCGUGUCUUCCCGUAUAUAGGUUUCCAGGGACGUGAAAAUACGGCCUUUCUAAUUAACAUUCACGAACCUAUAAUCUGGCGCAUUCAUGAGAUGAUUCAGCAAGCCAACUUGAGUAGACUUUCAGAUUCUGGGUCGACAGCUGUAUCAGUUGAUCCAUUCAUUCAAAUCGGGUAUGCACACAGUUAGUUCCUGAUAUCAAUAUUUACUGGAUCAGUCUAUUCACAACAAUUUCUUAUAUGGUUACGUGCCUCCAAAAAUGCAGGGUUCUUAACAUCUCAGAAGUUAGAUUUAAAGUGUCCAUGGCCAUGUCCCCAAGUCAAAGGCCGAGGGGAGUUCUUGGAUUUUGGUCAUCCCUGAUGACUGCUCUUGGGAAUACCGAAAACAUGCCAGUAAGUUUUCGAUAGUAACUCAUUUCUUAUAACGCAGGGUAACUAAACAAUAAUGACCUCUGUGUUUCACGCGAUUAGCCUAUUAAAUUUUAAAAUAUUGGGCCUACUAGUAUGUAAAUUGACUCAGAGAUUAUGUAGUAUUUACGCGACUCUGGAUGUCCUGACUUUUGUGUCCAUAAUUUAAUUUUGACCAUUAGUUUUUAUUCGAAGGAUUACUAUUGUGAUUAUACUCAACGAGUUUCAAAGCGUUUAGAAUUUUAUUUGUCAAUGUCCCAAUCACUAACUUUCGAUCCAGUCCAGCUAAGCUGAACAUUCUUUUUCUUUUUUGCUGAUCUUCUAACAGGUACGCAUAAGUGAAAGAUUUAGUGAGAACAUAUCCAUGCGACAAAGUACUAUGAUCAAUAAUGCUAUUAGGAACGUAAAGAAAGACCUACUUGGCCAGCCUCUUCAGUUGCUCUCAGGUGUUGACAUUCUUGGCAAUGCAAGCAGCGCGCUUGGACAUAUGAGUCAAGGCAUAGCUGCAUUAUCAAUGGACAAAAAAUUCAUCCAAAGUCGACAGAGACAGGUUCGUUCCUGGCUUUGAUUUUGCUCCUACAUGUUGCUGUUUCAGUUGCUUCUGAUACCCAACGAAAGUAUGGGCUUGCCAGUUUUUCUUUCAUGUGCCUCCUUUUGUUAUUACAUGCUAAUGUUUGUUCUAUCAUUUGGCAGGAGAGCAAAGGUGUUGAGGACUUUGGCGACAUUAUCAGAGAAGGAGGUGGAGCUCUAGCGAAGGGCCUGUUUAGAGGAGUCACAGGCAUAUUGACAAAGCCCCUCGAAGGUGCAAAGUCUUCUGGUGUCGAAGGCUUUGUAUCAGGUUUUGGGAAAGGAAUUAUUGGUGCUGCUGCCCAACCUGUGAGUGGAGUUCUGGAUCUUUUGUCGAAAACCACUGAAGGUGCAAAUGCCAUGAGGAUGAAGAUAGCAGCAGCCAUCACUUCAGAUGAACAACUUCUUCGCCGGAGACUUCCAAGAGCCGUUGGUGCUGAUAGCCUGCUUCGUCCAUACAACGAAUACAGAGCACAAGGGCAG